rnacentral:rRNA from 1 species
AAACCAGCACCUCAAGUGGUCAGGAUGAUUAUUGGGCCUAAAGCAUCCGUAGCCGGCUCUGUAAGUUUUCGGUUAAAUCUGUACGCUCAACGUACAGGCUGCCGGGAAUACUGCAGAGCUAGGGAGUGGGAGAGGUAGACGGUACUUGGUAGGAAGGGGUAAAAUCCUUUGAUCUCUCGAUGACCACCUGUGGCGAAGGCGGUCUACCAGAACACGUCCGACGGUGAGGGAUGAAAGCUGGGGGAGCAAACCGGAUUAGAAACCCCGGUAGUCC